ensembl:lncRNA
GAGUGACCGGUGACUGGCUGCUGCAGCCAAUGAUGCGAUUCACAUACGUAUUUACCAUAGACUGUAUAUAAUGGUAUUUACGCAGCUAAUCAACGUCAGGCGUCCUUAUGUGCAGCCACCGCUGUUCUCAUAGAUAUGAAUGAGUAGAUAGGACACGCCCCUUUGAGCUGCGUGCUACAGCGAGGCUAAGCUAGUGGGGGAAAAGUUUCAGUGCAUUCUGUUGAUGUAGACGGCGUGAAAACGGAAACAACAAGUAUGCCGUCUCACUGUACUGCAUAUAGUUACACACUACGUCGUACGAUUGAGACAAGGAAACUUGGAAUGACUUUUCAUAGGUUUCCCAGAGACUAUGGGUUGAGGAGGAAUUGGAAGUUUGUCGGCUUAGACCUGGUGUUAUUCCAUCAGUGUUAAACUUCCCGGCUCAUCUUGGAAGAGUACGUGCCAGAAAGACCACGACCAAGCAGCCUUGAGAUCUUAGACAGCGUCUCCCUGAGGUCCCUCUCUAUCUCCCCACACAUCCACCAACCACUGGAACACAUCUCCAAAGUUCUGCUGGUCCAGCUCAGCUUCCCCUCAGAAGAAGUGCCGCUACCUGCCAGAUGAAGGAGCCUUUUGAGAGGCAGCUGGCAUCAUGAUUGGACUGUACUUUGGUCUGUUCCAAUCCAGCUUCAGCUCCAGAGACGGCAGGCGGGACGAGUCAACGGAGGCCGGGUGGACGAAAGCAUGCAGCUGAGUACAAUCCAGAAAACAACAGAGGAGGAGUGCAGCGGUACAAUAUACAAUAUACAUCGUAUAUUGUACAAAUAACAAGUCAAAGGAAAGAGACAUACAUUGUAGAAUUGUAGUAAUUGUGGGCUGAC